AUACCUUUGGGAAACUUACCACUUCCUGAUUUACUCUUGGCGAGGGCUGUUUGCAGGGGGUGGCUGUGAUCAGCUGUGCUGCCCUUCAGUUUCUUCAGAACUACCCAUUAAAAACGUUGCAGAUAGAAAUACAAUUUAUAGACGUGGCAUGAAACCCAAUUCUAUGUGACAUAAGUAUAGCUGUUCUACAUAACCAAUUUCUAUCUGAACGUUUUUUUAAUAUUGCACCCUCUUGAACACAGCCAGUCCUCCGCCGUUGCAGCCGCACAGACUGAUUGACUGCCUGCCAAGGAGAACACUGCCGUUUUGUCAGUCCAUUUAGCCAGGCUAUCGAGCUGAAGGUGAAGACUGACUGAUUCACGCUGCAUUAGAAAGACCGCAUGCUACAUGGUGUCUCAAGUCAACACUGAGCAUUACUGCAGAAAAUACAGGUCAAGAUUUGCUUGGGUGUAAGUAGUUUGCAGCAUCUAUUCACCUAGAGCCUACAUCUUUGUUUCUGUUGUUUUGACUGCUGCAGUGGUGGAUGCUAUGUUUCGUUCCUCUGUUGUCACAUAGUAUUGCUUUCACUGUUACAUGAAUCUGUGUGUGAGGGUGAUGCAGAGGAGCUGUACUGCACUUAAUCAAUUCUACCACAUGGUGGCACCACCAAGCCUAUACUCACUUCAACAUACAAUGAUUAAUCUUCGUUUUGUUUGACUAUUCCACUCCGUUGCCAGGUUACAGGUGCCUCUGACAGUUUCCUGUCUAAGGCUCUGAGGCAGGUGUCUGACAUGCCCGAUUGUAAGACGGUUUGUUUGUCCCGUCAAUACACCUCAAAGAUCAUUGCAGACAUCUGUGUUUCAUUUUUCUGGGAUAGUCACCAUUUGAAGUGGCCUGGGGUAAGAUGUUUUUAUGAGUUCCUUAGUUGAGAACCUGUGUCCCUUUUUAUUGAAAUUGGUCUCAAGUGUAUCUGGGUGUCUCAGUUGUCUCGUUUCGUCUUUCCCAGGUGACGUAAGUAAACAAUAAUCUGGGCGCUGCUUCCAAUCUGCUUGGCGGUGUUUGGCACUGUGGGAAUAUGGGUGGUGUUUGGUAUCGCUGUAUCAAAUGAGACUGUUAAUAUCACAGCGAGAUUCCCUUACAUCAUCAGUGAAUGCGACACCUAUGAUCCACAGAGCUGUAUCGUUUCCCUGGUCUGCAACAUUUGUUCUGUCUUGAGUAAGUGGAUUUAUUCAGCACAUUAUUAUUCAUUCUUGUCUUUCGUAUGUAACCUCAACCUUC